GACGAACCGUGCGAACGUUGUUCGGAAUCAUUGGGCUUAAAGGGCGCGUAGGCGGGCUAGCAAGUCAGGGGUGAAAGCCCACGGCUCAACCGUGGAAGUGCCUUUGAUACUGCCAGUCUGGAGGGAGGUAGGGGCGUGCGGAACUUCCGGUGGAGCGGUGAAAUGCGUAGAUAUCGGAAGGAACACCGGUGGCGAAAGCGGCGCGCUGGACCUCUUCUGGCGCUGAGGCGCGAAAGCCAGGGGAGCGAACGGG
rnacentral:rRNA from 1 species